rnacentral:rRNA from 1 species
GACGAACGCUGGCGGCGUGCUUAACACAUGCAAGUCGAACGGAAAGGCCUGCUUUCCCUUGUGGAUUGCGGGUACUCGCGUGGCGAACGGGUGAGUAACACGUGAGUGAUCUGCCCCCAACUUGGGUAUAAGCCUGGGAAACUGGGUCUAAUUCCCGAUAGGACUGCAGGGUGGUGCCUGUGGUGGAAAACGAUUUUCUAGUGGUUGGGGAUGAGCUCGCGGCCUAUCAGCUUGUUGGUGGGGUAAUGGCCUACCAAGGCGGCGACGGGUAGCCGGCCUGAGAGGGUGGACGGCCACAUUGGGACGGAGAUACGGCCCAGACUCCUACGGGAGGCAGCAGUGGGGAAUAUUGCACAAUGGGCGGAAGCCUGAUGCAGCGACGCCGCGUGGGGGAUGACGGCCUUCGGGUGGUAAACUCCUUUCGACCGCGAGGAAGCCACCUGGUUGGAAGGGUGGUGACGGUAGUGGUAGAAGAAGCACCGGCUAACUACGUG